UACGGGGGGGGUAAGCGUUGUUCGGAAUUACUGGGCGUAAAGGGCUCGUAGGCGGCCAACUAAGUCAGACGUGAAAUCCCCCAGCUCAACUGGGGAAUGGCCUGGGAUACUGGCGGCCUCGAGGGAGGUAGGGGCGGUCGGAACUUCCGGUGGAGCGGUGAAAUGCGUAGAUAUCGGGAGGAACACCAGUGGCGAAGGCGGCGACCUGGGCCAAUAUUGACGCUGAGGUGCGAAAGCGUGGGGAGCAAACGGG
rnacentral:rRNA from 1 species